rnacentral:rRNA from 1 species
GAUGAACGCUGGCGGCGUGCCUAAUACAUGCAAGUCGAGCGAACCACUUCGGUGGUGAGCGGCGAACGGGUGAGUAACACGUAGGUUAUCUGCCCAUCAGACGGGGACAACGAUUGGAAACGAUCGCUAAUACCGGAUAGGACGAAAGUUUAAAGGUGCUUCGGCACCACUGAUGGAUGAGCCUGCGGCGCAUUAGCUAGUUGGUAGGGUAAAGGCCUACCAAGGCGACGAUGCGUAGCCGACCUGAGAGGGUGAACGGCCACACUGGGACUGAGACACGGCCCAGACUCCUACGGGAGGCAGCAGUAGGGAAUCUUCGGCAAUGGGCGAAAGCCUGACCGAGCAACGCCGCGUGAAUGAUGAAGGCCUUCGGGUUGUAAAAUUCUGUUAUAAGGGAAGAAUGGCUUUAGUAGGAAAUGGCUAGAGUGUGACGGUACCUUAUGAGAAAGCCACGGCUAACUACGGGCCAGCAGCCGCGGUAAGAC